rnacentral:rRNA from 1 species
CCUACGGGAGGUAGCAGUGAGGAAUAUUGGUCAAUGGACGAGAGUCUGAACCAGCCAAGUAGCGUGAAGGAUGACUGCCCUAUGGGUUGUAAACUUCUUUUAUAUGGGAAUAAAAUGUUCCACGUGUGGGAUUUUGUAUGUACCAUAUGAAUAAGGAUCGGCUAACUCCGUGCCAGCAGCCGCGGUAAUACGGAGGAUCCGAGCGUUAUCCGGAUUUAUUGGGUUUAAAGGGAGCGUAGGUGGAUUGUUAAGUCAGUUGUGAAAGUUUGCGGCUCAACCGUAAAAGUGCAGUUGAAACUGGCAGUCUUGAGUACAGUAGAGGUGGGCGGAAUUCGUGGUGUAGCGGUGAAAUGCUUAGAUAUCACGAAGAACUCCGAUUGCGAAGGCAGUUCACUGGACUGCAACUGACACUGAGGCUCGAAAGUGUGGGUAUCAAACAGGAUUAGAUACCCUUGUAGUC